rnacentral:rRNA from 1 species
AUUGAACGCUGGCGGCAGGCCUAACACAUGCAAGUCGAGCGGAUGAAGGGAGCUUGCUCCUGGAUUCAGCGGCGGACGGGUGAGUAAUGCCUAGGAAUCUGCCUGGUAGUGGGGGAUAACGUCCGGAAACGGGCGCUAAUACCGCAUACGUCCUGAGGGAGAAAGUGGGGGAUCUUCGGACCUCACGCUAUCAGAUGAGCCUAGGUCGGAUUAGCUAGUUGGUGGGGUAAAGGCCUACCAAGGCGACGAUCCGUAACUGGUCUGAGAGGAUGAUCAGUCACCAUGGAAACGAGACACGGUCCAGACUCCUAAGGGAGGCAGCAGUGGGGAAUAUUGGACAAUGGGCGGAAGCCUGAUCCAGCCAUGCCGCGUGUGUGAAGAAGGUCUUCGGAUUGUAAAGCACUUUAAGUUAGGAGGAAGGGCAGUAAGUUAAUACCUUGCUGUUUUGACGUUACCAACAGAAUAAGCACCGGCUAACUUCGUG